ACUCAAUAGAUACCCUGGUAGUCCACGCCGUAAACGAUGGAUGCUAGCUGUUAUAGGUAUCGACCCCUGUAGUAGCGAAAGCUAACGCGUUAAGCAUCCCGCCUGUGGAGUACGGUCGCAAGACUAAAACAUAAGGGAAUUGACGGGGACCCGCACAAGCGGUGGAGCGUGUUGUUUAAUUCGAUGGUAAACGAAGAACCUUACCCAGGUUUGACAUCCUUGGAAUUUCUCCGAAAGGAGAGAGUGCUUUAUUGAGCCAAGUGACAGGUGAUGCAUGGCCGUCGUCAGCUCGUGUCGUGAGAUGUUUGGUUAAGUCCAUCAACGAGCGCAACCCUUGUGAUUAGUUGAAUUUUUCUAAUCAGACUGCCCUGGUAACAGGGAGGAAGGAGGGGAUGAUGUCAGGUCAGUAUUUCCCUUACAUCUGGGGCUACAAACACGCUACAAUGGCCGGUACAAAGGGCAGCCAAGUCGCGAGACGGAGCAAAUCCCAUCAAAGCCGGUCUCAGUUCGGAUUGCAGGCUGAAACUCG
rnacentral:rRNA from 1 species